rnacentral:pre_miRNA from 1 species
GCCAGGAAGAGGAAGCGAGAGAGGGUCUAAGAACAGUAGGAAUGGGAACAUGAAGGAAAGCCCAACUCUAUUUUCUCCUCUAACAUUAGAGGUGGCUAUUUAGUUUGAUGUUUUCCUGAUGCCUCCCAUGCCUAUGGUUCUUAGAUGCUCCUUCCUCUUCCUUUUGGCC